UCCUCAUGAACGUACGUCAUACUUCCUAAAACCCCUGCUCCCCAGAACACUACCACCCACUACUUAAAACUAAAACUACCUGGCGCUCCUUCAUAUCCCUCUAAAGCAGCCUGUUCUGUAAUACAUAAACCCCUAUUAACCUCACCUCCUCUUGCUCACCCUAUAUACCGCCCUCUUCAGCAAACAAAAA
rnacentral:rRNA from 1 species